rnacentral:rRNA from 1 species
GCGUAGAUAUCAGGAGGUACACCAAUGGCGAAGGCAGCUCCCUGGACAGGUUCUGACGCUGAGAUACGACAGCGUGGGUCGCGAAAGGGAUUAGAUACCCCUGUAGUCCACGCCGUAAACGUUGUACACUAGGUUUCGGAGGGCCUACCCCUUCGGAGCUCAAGCUAACGCGAUAAGUGUACCGCCUGAGGACGACGGCCGCAAGGCUAAAACUCAAAGGAAUUGACGGGGGCCCGCACAAGCGGUGGAGCAUGUGGCUAACUGCGAUGCGACGCUGAAGAACCUUACCUAGGCCUUGACAUGAACCGGACGAUUUUCGGCAACGGAUUUCUCCCUUCGGGGCCGGUUCACAGCUGCGACAUGACUGUCGUCAGCUCGUGUCGUGAGAUGUUUGCUUAAGUACAGCACGAGCCGCAACCCCUGUUCGUAAUAGCCAGCGCGUUCUGGCGGGGACUCUAAGAAGCCUAACCUGUGGUAUCAGGUGGGCAUGUGGGGACGACGUCUACUCAGUAUGCUCCUUACGCUUUAGGCAUGCACACGUGCGUACAAUGCUUGGUACCAUGGGACGCAAUCCCGCGAGGUGGUACGAAUCCAUAAAGCCAAGCCCAGUUGGGAUUGGAGUCUGCAA